CCUACGGGAGGCUGCAGUGAGGAAUAUUGGUCAAUGGGCGCGAGCCUGAACCAGCCAAGUCGCGUGAGGGAAGACGGUCCUAUGGAUUGUAAACCUCUUUUGUCGGGGAGCAAAAGACGCCACGCGUGGCGUUCCGAGAGUACCCGAAGAAAAAGCAUCGGCUAACUCCGUGCCAGCAGCCGCGGUAAUACGGAGGAUGCGAGCGUUAUCCGGAUUUAGUGGGUUGAAAGGGUGCGCAGUGGGAAGAUCAAGCCAGCGGUAAAAUUGAGAGGCUCAACCUCUUCGAGCCGUUGAAACUGGUUUUCUUGAGUGAGCGAGAAGUAUGCGGAAUGCGUGGUGUAGCGGUGAAAUGCAUAGAGAUCACGCAGAACUCCGAUUGCGAAGGCAGCAUACCGGCGCUCAACUGACGCUCAGGCACGAAAGUGUGGGUAUCGAACAGGAUUAGAUACCCCUGUAGUC
rnacentral:rRNA from 1 species